GUAAAACACAGAGAGGGUCCAUGCCUGCUUGGACCACAGAACAUCUAGAGAAAAAGACAGACUUUGAAAAAUAUUCAAAUUCAUAUUGGCACCAAGGAGGAAUUAUGAGAAUUCUAGAAUGAUAGGAACUUUGUAAAGGAAGAGCAGCCCAGCUUCAGAUGAGAUUGGAGGGGUGGGCAAAUGGGCAUGUUUUUAACACGUAAAAAAGCUUGGUUUUAUCCCAAGAAUGAUGAGCAGUCUGUAAAGGGCUUAAUUACGGCAGGAAACACCAUAUUAUUAGUGUUUUAAGAAGGUGACACUGGCUAUUUGUUUAGGUGGCAUUUGUAUUGUAGUGGGUAACAGUGAAUGUGGAUUGCUUGGUUUACAGAACUGAAAGGCUUGGCCACUCAAAGGCCAUCUCAAAGACCCUAUCUAUGAGGAAGAAGAAAAGAAGUAGAAAGAGGAAGAGAAGAAGGAAAAAAAAUAAAGAAUAGGGAAGAGGAAGAAAAAGACAAAGAGACUCAAGCCCUAUCCUAGGAAAAAAUUGAAGACAGACUCUAAUAUACAAGAAGAAAACCCUGUGAACAU
rnacentral:lncRNA from 1 species